rnacentral:rRNA from 2 species
AAAUUGAAGAGUUUGAUCAUGGCUCAGAUUGAACGCUGGCGGCAGGCCUAACACAUGCAAGUCGAACGGUAACAGGAAGCAGCUUGCUGCUUCGCUGACGAGUGGCGGACGGGUGAGUAAUGUCUGGGAAACUGCCUGAUGGAGGGGGAUAACUACUGGAAACGGUAGCUAAUACCGCAUAACGUCGCAAGACCAAAGAGGGGGACCUUCGGGCCUCUUGC